GCCAUGCUGAAGUCUUUGAUUUAAAUACAUUUAACUGCCUACAAAUAACAUCACAGUAGCCCUGCGCACUUGUUACCAGGCAAGGCAAGCAACACUUAGACUCACUUGCAAAUCCUGCUCUCUCCUAUGAAAAUGAAGCACUUGCUGCCUGCUGUUUGCUGCCUUUUUUGUUGCUGCUCACUUUGUUUUCAAACCUUACAUCAUCCUGUGGGCAGCAAUGUCUGUGUGUCUCACAAGAGCCACUCUUUCCCAGGUUACCUAAGGGCAGUGCGAGGGCUGAACAGCAGCUCUACAGACACGGAAAAAAAAAUAAUCAAACCAGCUCUGGAUGGAAAACCCCAGUGUGAACAACAUGACAUUGUGUAUUCAGGCUGGCAGUUGCGCUUCCAAAAAACACGAUGUUCUUUGGAGUGGACAACUGAAACCUAUCUGGGAUGAACAGAUUGGCCAAUAUGGGAGAACAGGGUGAAUGUCUCUCCCAACCAUACCGAACUGAGCUUCUUCAGGAGCUGUCAUUGCAUGGGGAGCCCAUGUCAUCUCACCAGCACAGGUGUUACCUGUGUGCUCUGACCUUUCUUUACCAACCCUUUACACUCUCAGCCAUUGAACGUCAGUGUCUGGCCCCUCGUUGCAUGAGGUAUGUUUUCAAAAAAUAGUACAAUAACAAAGUGCUUCUGCUUACGUUUCCUUCACAUAUAGGACUUUUUGGAGCUGUGUGUACAGUUAUCAGACUUGCAAAUAUUUUUGCAAACUCCCAGUGGCUGGAGGAGUGUUUGUGCACAACAUAUAUGACCCUAAAUCACAGCAAAUGGGGCUCAGUGCCUUUCUGGGAGAACAGUUGUCCACCACACAGUCAACAAAACUACGGAGAGGGGAAGCAGCAGUGAUCCUGCUCUACCUUCACAUUGGCCAUGUCCAAAAACCAUUACGAUCUGGUCAAACUUUUGGUCAUGUGAGUUGGGGAAUACCAGUUUUGCCAUAGCUUGGCUACUCUGGUAGAGAUAUGGCAAUAGGAUCAAGGACACCCUGCAUGCUCCAGAGCUCUUCCUGCACAGCUAUUCAGCUUACCUUUGAGCUUCUCCCAAGGAAAAAAACAUAAAGGAAAAUUGUAUGCUUACACCUGUGUCCAUUCUGUAGCAGUGAGUUGAAGAAGCUGGCUUGGAUUUUAGGGAACCACCAAAGAAGAAGAUCUCUCCAUUAUGCUCUUAAAAGCAGCUAGCAUCUCCUGUGUAAGUGUCCAUCAGGUAAAAUAAUGUGGGCUCUAGCAUCACUUGGGAAGGAAUGAAAAUACUAGAAUAAAUGACCAGCACGGGAUUCACACCUCUCUGAGAAAGAAAGCACGUUGGCUCUCCUGGGGAAUUCCUUUAGCAGUUGGAAAUCCUUAUGCUCAAAGAUAAAGGGUAAAUCUAAAUCAGGGUAAAUACGUUACUCUUUGCUAAGCUUGAAGAUAUUAUUCCUUUCCUUGUGUCACCCUCUCUUUCUUAUAGUACCCCUGGCUUAUCUGGUUAUGUUAUCUGCAUAGGCAGAAGAAAUAGAUCUAAUCAGAAAAAGAGAAGAUGAGUUGAAGCAGGCAGAAUGCUGGUUUUGGUUAAAGUCUGACAAGCACAACAACCAGCUUCGGGAUGGCUGUGGGGCAGCUGCCAGGGCUCCAGGCAAUGUGGUGCUGGAGCAGGCUGCAGCAUGUCCAUGAUCGUUUUCCAUUUUGUCUUUCUUGAUGGUAAACCAGGUACAAAAUACAUCUCAAGGGCAGAAAAUGAGACUGCCUGUGUACAUGCAGUGUUGUGUCGGGAGUGGGGCCAUGGGAAUGGAGCACCACGUCUGUGCUGUGCUGAGCUCACACUGCUGCUGCCCUGUGUGCUGCUAUGGGCUCCAUUGCAGCAAUUAGCAUGAAAAGGAGAAAAAGAAAAGCCUGAGGGAUGUAUUCUAAGCAUAAGAAGUGUAAAGGCUAGCGCAGGCCAAGAGAUUUUCUCCUGCUGGCAGCCUGCUGUGCUCUCUCUUGUGCUGGCAGAGGGUUGCAGGCUGGAGCCGCACUGAGCUGAGCGCCUGAAUGGCCCUUUCACUGUGCCUGGGAGGAAAAGCAGGAUGGAGCCCAGGCCUGGGCAGAGGGAUGCAUAAAUACAGAGUGCAAGCACCCAUGUUUUUUAGUUGGAGUCAGCCCUGUGUGUUUGAGACUUGCCUUGGAUAACUCGUGCUCGGGGUGGGACAAAUCUUCCCAUCCCCACCCAGUGCCCAAAAGUGAAUUUUAGAUUUUGGUUAUUAGACAAGGGUGGGACCCAUGCGCAGGGCAGUGCGAGCACCCAGCCACAAGCCUGCCAUGGUGCCAUGCUGUCCUGCCAGGAGCAGUGAAGGGACAGCUUCAUCAGGUGUCACACACCUUGGACAGGGAGAGGGGACCUUCAGCCUCCACUGCAUCUCCAGCCGCUCUCUAGCCAUUUCUCCCCUGAAUAAUUAAAACCAGAGUGCUUAAUUAGAGAAGAUUCUGGCUAAUAUAUUUAAGCACGAUUUUUGUACUCAGAGUGUUCCACAGAAAGUUACAGAGAAUUCAACAUAAAGUCAUUAUUUUGGGCUUGCCUUCCUAAAGCUGGUGAAAGCAAGGGAAAGAUUGUGCUUGUUUCUGAAUUUUGUCGUGUAGAGAAAGGGCUACCUCAUAGCAGGAGGGUAUCUGCAGUGUGGUUGUGUCAGGGACUUGACUCCAAUUCACUGCUUCCAUUUCUGGGAUGAAAACCGAGGGGAAAGAUAAAAAAAUCCCUUCCCCUCAACUUAGGGGUAAAGACAUGAAACAGCUGCAGCGGGGGCUUGUAUCAUGCACUAGCUGAUGAAGGGAGGAAUGAACAGAAGCUGUUUGCUUCCCCUCACUGUGCAGGCAGGAAGGAUGGACAGGAGUGCAGAAAGGACAGGUCUGCUUGGGAAGUUUGUACCAUGUCCUCUUCCCAUUCUCCUGCACUGGACUGAUGUAUCCUGCUGGCAGUGCCAGCAGCCAAGGAACUGCACACCUCUGCAGCCACCACCUGAGAACCUCCCAGUGAGCAUCCCUCUCUUAGGUUCCUUCUGUGAGCUCUGAAUUCCUUCUGCAUGGGGGUCCUAGGGCUGGAUGUGGGUGGGAGCAGCUGGAAGCUGGCAGCUAAUGGCUGGAGUGCAAGCAUCAUGCCCCGCUGGGAUCCACGGCUGUUACCCACUUAAUUGCUCCACGUAGGGCUGGUCAGAUCACCUCGGUGUGAAAAUUAUUCAGGGAGCUUUAUAGCAUUUUUCAAAUAAACAUGCAAGGCAGACUAUUUUCAUUACUUUCCCA
rnacentral:lncRNA from 1 species